rnacentral:rRNA from 1 species
GACGAGCGCUGGCGGCGUGCUUAACACAUGCAAGUCGAACGGAAAGGCCCUGCUUUUGUGGGGUGCUCGAGUGGCGAACGGGUGAGUAACACGUGAGUAACCUGCCCUUGACUUUGGGAUAACUUCAGGAAACUGGGGCUAAUACCGGAUAGGAGCUCCUGCUGCAUGGUGGGGGUUGGAAAGUUUCGGCGGUUGGGGAUGGACUCGCGGCUUAUCAGCUUGUUGGUGGGGUAGUGGCUUACCAAGGCUUUGACGGGUAGCCGGCCUGAGAGGGUGACCGGCCACAUUGGGACUGAGAUACGGCCCAGACUCCUACGGGAGGCAGCAGUGGGGAAUAUUGCACAAUGGGCGGAAGCCUGAUGCAGCAACGCGCGUGCGGGAUGACGGCCUUCGGGUUGUAAACCGCUUUCGCCUGUGACGAAGCGUGAGUGACGGUAAUGGGUAAAGAAGCACCGGCUAACUACGUG